rnacentral:misc_RNA from 1 species
GUAAAUUAUCCAUAUGUAGAUUAGAUACCAUGUAGAUACGAGUAUACAGCAUCUAUCCCAUGCAUACAUUUCUUUUUCCUGGGUGUAAACUAUUAUGAACAUUCCUCUUGACCUAUUUUCUUCUUUCCAAGUAAAUUUAAUCAUUGACUAGAGCAGAGACUAACAAGCUGCGGAAGAUUGACGAGAUUGCAGGGUUGGUGUUCCAACUUUAGAAGACAAGGUGGCGGCUGUGGCUGUAGCAACGGUGGAAGCAGCGGCGGUGGU